rnacentral:misc_RNA from 1 species
GAUGAAGAACGCAGCGAAAUGCGAUAAGUAGUGUGAAUUGCAGAAUUCAGUGAAUCAUCGAAUCUUUGAACGCACAUUGCGCCCCUUGGUAUUCCAUGGGGCAUGCCUGUUCGAGCGUCGUUUGUACCUUCAAGCUCUGCUUGGUGUUGGGUGUUUGUCCUUGCUCUAGUGGCGGGACUCGCCUUAAAGUAAUUGGCAGCCAGUGUUUUGGUUUUGAAGCGCAGCACAAGUCGCGAUUCAAGUCUAUACGCUAGUUUCCACAAGUCUUUUAUCACUUUUGACCUCGGAUCAGGUAGGGAUACCCGCUGAACUUAAGCAUAUCAAUAAGCGGAGGA